rnacentral:rRNA from 2 species
UGGCGGCGUGCCUAAUACAUGCAAGUCGAGCGGACAGAUGGGAGCUUGCUCCCUGAAGUCAGCGGCGGACGGGUGAGUAACACGUGGGCAACCUGCCUGUAAGACUGGGAUAACUCCGGGAAACCGGGGCUAAUACCGGAUAAUUCUUUCCCUCACAUGAGGGAAAGCUGAAAGAUGGUUUCGGCUAUCACUUACAGAUGGGCCCGCGGCGCAUUAGCUAGUUGGUGAGGUAACGGCUCACCAAGGCAACGAUGCGUAGCCGACCUGAGAGGGUGAUCGGCCACACUGGGACUGAGACACGGCCCAGACUCCUACGGGAGGCAGCAGUAGGGAAUCUUCCGCAAUGGACGAAAGUCUGACGGAGCAACGCCGCGUGAGUGAUGAAGGUUUUCGGAUCGUAAAACUCUGUUGUUAGGGAAGAACAAGUACCGGAGUAACUGCCGGUACCUUGACGGUACCUAACCAGAAAGCCACGGCUAACUACGUGCCAGCA